rnacentral:lncRNA from 1 species
CAGUUUAAUGACGUGGCGGUCGGCUUGAGUUGAGUCACUCAGUUUAACGACCUGGCGGUCGGCUUGAUUUGAGUAGUUUAGUUUAACGAUAUGGCGGUCAGCUUAAGUUGAGUUGCUCAGUUUAACGGCGUGACAGUCGACUUGAGUUGAUUAGCUUAGUUUAACGACAUGGCGGUCGGUUUGAAGUUGAGUUGCUCAGUUUAACGACGUGGCGGUCGACUUGAUUUCAGUAGCUCAGUUUAGCGAAGUGGCGGUCGGCUUGAUUUUAGUAGCUCAGUUUAGCGACGUGGCGGUCAGCUGGAGUUGAGUUGCUCAGUUUAAUGACAUGGCGGUCGGCUUGAGUUGAGUCACUCAGUUUAAUGACCUGGCGAUCGGCUUGAUUUGAGUAGCUCAGUUUAGCGAUAUGGCAGUCGGCUUCAGUUGAGUUGCUCAGUUUAAUGACGUGGCGGUCGGCUUGAGCUCAGUUUAACGACCUAGCGGUCGGCUUGAUUUGAGUAGCUUAGUUUAACGAUAUGGCUGUUAGCUUAAGUUGAAUUGUUCAGUUUAGCGACGUGGCAGUCGAUUUGAGUUAAUUAGCUUAGUUUAACGACAUAGCGGUCGGUUUGAAGUUGAGUUGCUCAGUUUAACGACAUGGCAGUCGGUUUGAAAUUGAGUUGCUCUGUUUAACGACGUGGCGGUCAACUUGAUUUGAGUAGCUUAGUUUAGUGACGUGGCUGUCGGCUUGAUUUUAGUAGCUCAGUUUAGCGACGUGGCAGUCGGCUUGAGUUGAGUUGCUCAGUUUAAUGACGUGGCGGUCGGCUUGAGUUGAGUCACUCAGUUUAACGACCUGGUGAUCGGUUUGAUUUGAGUAGCUCAGUUUAACGAUAUGGCGAUCGGCUUAAGUUGAUUAGAUUAGUUUAACGACAUGGCGGUCGGUUUGAAGUUGAGUUGCUCAAUUUAACGACAUGGCGGUCGGUUUGAAAUUGAGUUGCUCAGUUUAACGACAUAGCGGUCGGUUUGAGUUGAGUUGCUCAGUUUAACAACAUGACGAUCGGUUUGAAAUUGAGUUGCUCAGUUUAACGACAUGGCGGUAGGAUUGAAGUUGAGGUGUUCAAUUUAACAACAUGGAGGUCGGUUUGAAGCUAAGGUGCUCAGUUUAGCGACAUGGCAGUCAGCUUGAGUUUGGAUUGUCUGGUUUAAAGACUUUGCGGUCAUUUUAAUUUGGGUGUAGUUUAACGAUUUUACGGACGUUUGAUUUCGGCAACUUAGUUUAAUGUCUUUGCGGUCGUUUGAAUUUGGAUUGUUUAGUUUAACGACUUUGCGAUCGUUUGAAUUUGGGUUUUUUAGUUUAACCACUUUGUUGUUGUAUGAAUUUAGGUUGUUUAGUGUGCAUUGGGGGUGUUUGGUGUAUACGGCUAGUCUGUGCACGCGUCGGGCAGGAUUCCGCUCGAUUCAGGCGUG